GGCGUGAUUGAGAUUCUAAAAAACACAUAUGCCCGGACAGUAGAUAUUAACGUAAAUAAAAUACAAACCGGUGAAACAUGUUAAGUGUCGAUUCUCCUUCGAUUGAAGGAAUUUUCACAAGCCUGCUUUCAUUAUUGUAGUGAUUUUGACUUUUCCUUGUAUAGCUUCAGAAGUGGCCUCUUUUUGUGAGAAUGAGAUUAGGUGCAGGCAUGGCGGCGACGAAACAACUUCUUAUCGGUGGCGAGGUUGCUGCCAUGCUUCCGAAUUGAUUUUCAUCCAA
rnacentral:lncRNA from 1 species